rnacentral:rRNA from 1 species
GACGAACGCUGGCGGCGUGCCUAAUACAUGCAAGUCGAGCGCAGGAAACUGACGGAACUCUUCGGAGGGAAGGCAGUGGAAUGAGCGGCGGACGGGUGAGUAACACGUAAGGAACCUGCCUCAAGGAUUGGGAUAACUCCGAGAAAUCGGAGCUAAUACCGGAUAGUUCAUCGGACCGCAUGGUCCGUUGAUGAAAGGCGCUUCGGCGUCACCUUGAGAUGGCCUUGCGGUGCAUUAGCUAGUUGGUGGGGUAACGGCCCACCAAGGCGACGAUGCAGAGCCGACCUGAGAGGGUGAGCGGCCACACUGGGACUGAGACACGGCCCAGACUCCUACGGGAGGCAGCAGUAGGGAAUCUUCCACAAUGGACGAAAGUCUGAUGGAGCAACGCCGCGUGAGUGAUGAAGGUUUUCGGAUCGUAAAACUCUGUUGUAAGGGAAGAACACGUACGAGAGGGAAUGCUCGUACCUUGACGGUACCUUACGAGAAAGCCACGGCUAACUACGUGCCAGCCGCCGCGGUAA